UGACAUCAAAGUUUCUUACUUUGAUUGACAGCCAGCAAAGCGCAGUGCCAGAGAUGCUACAAGAAACAAGGUCACAACUGUACUUGAAAAUUACCCUGGAUUUGCCAAAGGGAUCAGCUAUGGAAUUCGGUAACACACCUUUGCUUCAUGUCAGACUCCGUCAUCACAUGGCAACAAAAUGUAAUGGAAUAUUGGUGAGAAGGUUCAGCCUCUACUGCCAUACUAUGAUCAUUCACCUCUGAUGUCGUGGGUCGGCAUAAUAAAAUAGGAAGCGUUACUUUUGGACCAGCCCUCAUACAAGCACCACAGAGAAGCAGACAUCAGCCUCUUGCACCACCAUCGGGGAAAAGUUCAUCAGCACAAAACCAAAGAAGCACAGAAGAACCACUGAACAACUCCAAUAACUCCACCACCUUAACUUUAGCUCCUCGCAGGCUGCUGUAGGAGAGUCAUCAGCCCAUCAAGUCCAUGGGAGAAGCUCUCUGGAGCACCUACAACUACAAGCAUAUGAAACUCAUCAUGGGAUGUCAUGGAAGAACGUGUGAGGAC
rnacentral:lncRNA from 1 species